GGAUGAAGAACGUAGCGAAAUGCGAUAAGUAAUGUGAAUUGCAGAAUUCAGUGAAUCAUCGAAUCUUUGAACGCACAUUGCGCCCAUUAGUAUUCUAGUGGGCAUGCCUGUUCGAGCGUCAUUUCAACCCUUAAGCCCCUGUUGCUUAGUGUUGGGAGCCUACGUCUCAGCGUAGCUCCUCAAAGUUAGUGGCAGAGUCAGUUCAAACUCUAGGCGUAGUAAAUUUCUUCUCGUCUCUGUAGUUGGGCUGCCCCUCGCCGUAAAACACCCCAAUUUUUAAAGGUUGACCUCGGAUCAGGUAGGAAUACCCGCUGAACUUAAGCAUAUCAAUAAGCGGAGGA
rnacentral:misc_RNA from 1 species